rnacentral:lncRNA from 1 species
GCAAGAAUCAAAAUCAUACCAAUAGAUAUUAAACAAUUAGAAUACAAGUUUAGAGUAUACUUGAUGAAAGCAACAUGCCAAGGGUUCAUCCAUCACCCUUUUCCAAAAGAAAUCAGUCCUCCAUUAAAACAUUAAACUCUCCCUCCUAAUUUUUUUCUUUUCUUUUCGGAAGAACAGGGCAUCCCCUGUUUCUUCCUUCUCUUUUUUUCUUUUAUUUUCCUUUCCAAACCACUGGAGCUCCUCCUCUGUUUCCUUCCUUCAACCGCAACAGCCCCCGACUCCUCUGUUCUUCCUCUCCUCCACUGUUUCUUCACCCGAAUGAAUGCUAUAUAGAUGGCGUUUGAUCCCCCCUGAGCGCACGCGGUGGAGAUGGGCGGAUGGAGGGGGAUCUCGAAUGUUGAUCGCGGGCGGAUCCAGCGCUGAUCGGUGGCUCACUUCACGGGAUGCUGGGAUCACGAGCUUGGGCGAACGUUGUGGAGGGGGUGGAUGGCUGGAUGGCGAGAUCGAAUGCGUGAGAGGCGUGGGAGAAGAGCGGGAUGCUGAGGACUUGAUACGGGUGCUCCGCGGACGCUAUGGAAGAAUGGAUUUGAGGCUCGGAAACGGAAGAGGCAUGAAACCAUCACGGACCGCUGGGAUUUGUUGGAAGGAGGAACUGGGACUUGUGAGACGAACGGGAUGAUCCGGGAAAGAAACUGGGGCUUGAAUGCUGUGCGAAAUUAGGGGUCUGCGACGAAAAUGAACAGCUGAACGCGAUCGGGAAGAAGGUUGGCUCGAUCCGAAAUCAUAGCUAAUCCCGACUGAUUUAGGAGGUUGAGGAGCUGAUCUUGGCUGGGCGGUGAUCGCGGGAGAGGUGGACGUGCUGAUGGAGUUGCGAAUUCGGAAGACUGGGCGGAGGCGGACGGCCGGGCGGUGAUCGUGGACUCGCGGAUACUGUGGAGCUGAGGAAUCAGUGGAUGAAGUUGAUAGAAGGGGGAUCUCGGGAGGUUGCACGGACACGGGAGCUGGGACUGGGAGAUCAUUGCGAGAGGAGCUGGACGUUGAUCAUGGGAUGCUAGGAUUGGGUGCGGGGAUCAUAUCACAGAUCCUAGCUCACGGAGGGCUGGAAUCUUGAGUUGCAUUGCGGAAUUUGGGAAGUCGCUUGGGUGUGCGGAAGAAGAGCCAUG